AACGCACCUUGCGCUCCUUGGUAUUCCGAGGAGCAUGCCUGUUUGAGUGUCUUGAAGUCAUCAACCCCUCCCGUUUCGUGCGGUGAGGUGCGUUGGAGUUGGGGGACUGCGGCCGCGAGGCUGCUCCCCUCAAAUGCUUCGGUUGGGCCUGAGGGUCGGACUCGGUUGGGCGUUGUAACAACCUCGCUCUGCUCUGAGAAGUUCCCCUGACGUUGUGCCCCUCCACGACUGCCUAUUCGAGUGGCGGUCAAAACAACUUUGAAAUCUGACCUCAAAUCAGGUAGGACUACCCGCUGAACUUAA
rnacentral:misc_RNA from 1 species